rnacentral:rRNA from 1 species
GUACACGCUGUGACUAGCAUAUCAAUAAGCGGAGGAAAAGAAACUAACAAGGAUUCCCCUAGUAACGGCGAGUGAAGCGGGAAGAGCUCAAAUCUGAAAUCUUAAAGGGUUUCCCUUUACGAAUUGUAGUUUAAAGAAGUGUUUUCUGUUGAGGUUUUGGUAAAAGUUCUUUGGAAUAGGACAUCAUAGAGGGUGAGGAAUCCCGUAUUUGACCUUUACUUUCAACUUUGUGAUACACUUUCAAAGAGUCGGAUUGUUUGGGAAUGCAGUCCAAAAUGGGUGGUAAAUUUCAUCUAAAGCUAAAUAUUGGCGAGAGACCGAUAGCGAACAAGUACCGUGAGGGAAAGAUGAAAAGAACUUUGAAAAGAGAGUUAAACAGUACGUGAAAUUGUCAAAAGGGAAGCGUUUGACACCAGUGUUGUUUUUCUGAAAAUCAAUUAAAGAACUGUUUAUGCUAAGCUGUUUAGACUUUAUCUAGCUAUCUGUUUAGUUUUGAGCUUUUCUUUAAUGCACUUUUCAGUUAACAAGUCAACAUCAAUUUCUUUUGCUGUAAAAAAGCUUGAGGAAGGUGGCUUGAGAUUCGUCUUAAGUGUUUAUAGCCUCUUGCCUAUGCAGUCGGAGAGAUUGAGGUCUGCAGCGUAGAUCCUUCGGGGCUAAACGCAUUUGUGCUAAGUUAUAGCAUUUUAUAGACAACUUGUUGACUAUGAUUUGUCUUGUAGCUUACUCGCUUAUGUUAUUUUACCUACGCUUAGGAUGUUGACGCGCGUGUGUGCGUG